GAUGUUCAUAGAGGAGAGGAGUUUGAUUCUCUGGACUUUACCUGUGAAGCAGCAGCAGAGGAGAGUCCAGAUGAGGACGCAGAUCAAAGUCAUGUUUUUGAUGAGGAGGAUUUCUUUGUCUUCUGUUGUCAUGAAGGACAGCUGUCAGUCUUCCAGUGUUCAACUCUCAGGACUAUAAACUCUCCCAGAGCGCUGGAGCAUGGAGCUGCUGAUGCAAAGUGGCUCUAUGGAAAUACUGAUGAGUCCUAUAUGGAUUCAGGAUCUAAUGGAUGAUACUAUUUAUCAGUGAUGCUCGUCCCACCCUGACAGUGCUGCCCCCCUCCAGUGAGGAGCUGCAGCAGGGGAAGGCCACCCUCAUGUGUCUGGCCAACAAGGGCUUCCCCUCAGACUGGAGUCUGUCCUGGAAGGUGGACGGCAGCAGCAGCAGCAGCUGGGAGGAGAACAAGAGCCGAGGAGUGCUGCAGAAGGACGGCCUCUACAGCUGGAGCAGCACCCUGAGGCUCCCUGCAGACCAGUGGAGGAAGGUGGGCUCUGUGACCUGUGAGGCCACCCAGAGCUCCCAGUCUGCAGUCACAGAGACACUGAGGAGAGACCAGUGUUCCCAGUGAUAACCUGACUUGUUCUUUUUU